CUAGAAAGGUGCAAUUCUACAUCGUCAAUUUUACAUCGGUUUAGGUAGAACCGAUGUAAAAAUUAGAUGCGGUGGCAUAUUCGUAAAUAUAAGUUGAAUGGAAAGCAAAUUUACAUCGGUUAUGUACAAAACCGAUGUAAUUAUUAAGCAUUUUACAUCGGUUUUAAUUGGACCGAUGUAAAUUUAAAUGUGCGGUGGCAAUCUUGUAAAUAUUUACAAGUAGAUCUACAUCGGUUUUCAAAAUAACCGAUGUAGUAUUGAAGCUAGGGUUUAUCACGUACAGUGUGCGUUGCAAUCUGAAGUGCCUCCACCAUUCUCACAACGUCAACCUCCUCCCUCCAAGAUCUCUCCUCUCCACCAAGGCCAUCUUGCUCUCGGUAGCCACGAAGACAAACACGGCAAACUUGCCGAGGGCCUUACGAAGCGUGGCGGCGCUCUUGUAGUCACCGUAGAUGAGCACGUACUCGAGGAGCUCGUCACAGUGGACCAUGGCGAGGAAGUCGUCCUUGAAGACGAAGAGGUAGUCGCGACCGUGGAGCUAGGAGGGGCGACAGGGACACGUGGUGGCGGUGACAAUGAAGUGUAGGUUGCGGCAGGACUCACGAAGGCUGGCGGUGAGGGCGUCCUUGCCGACACCGCUGGGGCCGUGAUGAUGAGGUCUUUGCUUGAUGGUGGGAUGCGUGUUGAAGAUCUACCAUCCAUACCUCGUUUUGGAUCGUCUCCUCGUUGAGCCAGCAUAGGCUUCCAUAAGAUUCCCCCGAAGGAUUAAGGGAACCUGAUUGUGGCUAUGGCGUUGCUGCUAGGUUGUGGCAUUUCAUAUAUCACAGCAUUUAUCUGGACCAAUAUAUAUCUUCAGAGUUCUCCUCACUUAUUAACACUCCUAAGCAGUAAAAAAGAUUCGAGGAUGGAAGGCAUGGGAGGCAGAAACUUCAUCUCAUGGUUACGAGUUUGCCAAUGAUCCUUCAAGAUUCUGGCUUACACAUGAAACAUCGUUUGUGAGAGGUCAUGCUUCAUUUUGGACAAGAUAUUCAAUCUUCUUCUAUAUAGGAUGCUUCUUUAGACAAUUUUAUAGGUCUGUGGGCAAGGCUGACUACUUGGCUUUGCGCAAUGGAUUCAUCGCUGUGAGUCCUACACCACAAGACAUGUUCUUUUUAACACUCUUGUACACGAUACAUUUGUUUGAAGUAUUAUAUUGAGUCUGUUUAAAUACAAACUUAGAAAAACUUUUAAGAGCUUCUCUAUUGAAAAUAAUGAGUUUUUUCUAAUCGAAAAAUUCUCAAAAACUUAUCUAAACUUGUAUCAAAACAGUCUCUUUGUCUAUGAUUUUUCCAAUGGUAACUUGUUUGACAUACAUGCUCACUAUGUUGUUGACAGUCCUGUCCUCUGGGCAUCAUUUGUUUUUUCCUGCUUCUAAAUG